GACGAACGCUGGCGGCGUGCCUAAUACAUGCAAGUUGAGCGCUGAAGGUUGGUACUUGUACCGACUGGAUGAGCAGCGAACGGGUGAGUAACGCGUGGGGAAUCUGCCUUUGAGCGGGGGACAACAUUUGGAAACGAAUGCUAAUACCGCAUAAAAACUUUAAACACAAGUUUUAAGUUUGAAAGAUGCAAUUGCAUCACUCAAAGAUGAUCCCGCGUUGUAUUAGCUAGGUGGUGAGGUAAAGGCUCACCAAGGCGAUGAUACAUAGCCGACCUGAGAGGGUGAUCGGCCACAUUGGGACUGAGACACGGCCCAAACUCCUACGGGAGGCAGCAGUAGGGAAUCUUCGGCAAUGGACGAAAGUCUGACCGAGCAACGCCGCGUGAGUGAAGAAGGUUUUCGGAUCGUAAAACUCUGUUGGUAGAGAAGAACGUUGGUGAGAGUGGAAAGCUCAUCAAGUGACGGUAACUACCCAGAAAGGGACGGCUAACUACGUG
rnacentral:rRNA from 1 species